CACGUAGGGCGCGAGCGUUGUCCGGAAUUAUUGGGCGUAAAGAGCGUGUAGGCGGCCGUACAGGUCAGCUGUGAAAACUCGAGGCUCAACCUCGAGACGUCGGUUGAAACCGUACGGCUAGAGUCCGGAAGAGGAGAGUGGAAUUCCCGGUGUAGCGGUGAAAUGCGCAGAUAUCGGGAAGAACACCCGUGGCGAAGGCGGCUCUCUGGGACGGUACUGACGCUGAGACGCGAAAGCGUGGGGAGCGAACAGG
rnacentral:rRNA from 1 species